UGUUUGUAGUUUAGUCCGGGUGUAAUGUUUGAAAACCUGGUAAUUUUUUCUCUGUUAUUGGGUAGGUGGUGUUUUAGGGCUAGUUCGUCAGUAAGUUGGAUCAGAGUCCGUUGCUUUUUUUGGUUGUUUUUCCUAUUUCUCUGUGUUAGUAAUUUAUUUUUUCAUAUUGAGUCAGAGCUUAAUGGAGUUUCAUGAAUAAAGGAUGUUAUUCCCUACAGUGCUUUAUUUGAGCCAUUAAUUUACAUUUCCUCUAAAAAGAUUUUCUUUCCAACUUCCUAUUAUAGACAGCAUGUUUGUAGAAUUGAAGUCUAGUUUCACUAUGUCGUGUUAAUAAGCAGUUGUUUGUAUACUAUUAGGCAAAUAAGUGUAAAGCAUCAUUUUGUCCAGUAAACAAAUGGUACAUUUUGUAGUGAGAGAUUAUUCAGUAGAGUGGUCAUCCUCGAAGUUGCAAUUGAUAAAAAAAUACAGAGCAAGUUGGCUUCACUUCCACUGAGCGUGAAAGAGACAAAAGUUUAGAAAUAGAUGCACUGAUUUUGGACUUGCUAAUCAGAAGGCCCAAAAAUUAUUUUUUUUUAUUAAAUGAGCAUGAGAUCUAUCAUAUGCUCUUAAAUGUGCAAUUCUUGUGUAUAUAAUAUAUAUAUAUAUACACACACACACAUAUAUAUAUAUAUACAUAACGAAUCUCACUGUCCAGGCUCUCUGCAAACUGCACAACAGGACACUACCAACUAAAGAACUUGACAACUCAAGGCUCCAAAUAACGUAAUAGUUUAAUGUCCAUUUUAUUGAAUUGAGUUUGAAAGUAUUCAACUGAAGACAAUUAUUCAGUACCGGUACUGAGUUGCUUCAUUAUGUCUUGUGGUGUGUUGGAUAGAUUUGCAGGUACAUUCGAAUCCGCGUAUGCCAGAUGGUUAAUCGUGGAGAUCAAACAAGCUCUACAAAAUAUGUCUGACAUAAUAAUUGAUUAUUGUAUAUAUAUCAAAUAACUCGUACAUUUCAAAAUAAAAGUACAUACAACUUUAUAAAAUUGAAAUACCCAUUUAAUAAUGGCGACCAGCAUUUAUUCUUAUGCUCUCUGACGUCCUCCAUCUUAACAUCAUCACAUUCAUGCAUGUAUUCGACCCAAGCUGCACAU